UGUACACAAACUAACUGGAUCUCAGUCCAAUAACGCCAGCUUUUGUCCUUUGACCACAUUAAUUUUAUUUUCUGCACUUUUAGGAAGUUUCAAUGAAAUGUACGCAAGAGUUACAUUAUUUGCUUGUUUCUGAUACUAGACACUUUGACAUGACUAUGGAGGGCCCUUGAAAUUUCGAGAUGAAAAUGCAACAUCUUCAUAGAAUCUUUGAGUAUGACACUUGGACAUGUUUCAGUGCUCUACAUUUUGGUAGCUGAGUUUGAGUAACAAAAUGUAGCUGGAAGAUAAUAUUCUAUGAAUCAGACUGCCCCAACGUCCCGUGCUUCUAUUUUACUGAUGCAGAGUCUGAAAACCAGAUCAGCUUGAUGCAGGGCAAAGCAGUAUCUGCGAGUAGAUAUGUCAAAUUGUUGAUUAAAUGCUUGUGUAGAACCGAUACUAUCUGCUGAGACAAUAGCCUAGCAAGCUGUGAUUUUGUGAACAGAAGUUGUGAUUCUAUUGCCUAGAUGUAACAAGGUAUGUCACAAAUCUCACAAUAUAUCGUUUUGUUGUCCCUCUCAACUCUUCCAAUUUCCAAGGAGGGUGGAUUGAUUGUUUGAGAAUCGAGAAUGAUACUUGAAUAAUGAAUGUUGCCUUCUUUACUCUUUGUAUUGAAAAUCUGAACUAUAGAAACAUAAAAUAAGAAUUGAUUUAUGGAAACCAGAGUAGCCAAGUGAUUUGUAUAUGAAUGAUUUACAAUUUUUAUUUUGAUUGAAAACCUGAUGUGAUGGUAGUUAUCAAGUUAAUGGGUUAUUUGUGUAAUUAUUCUAAUAAAACAUAGGUAGAUACUCCGUAUAAUCAUGUUUCACACUCCAACUUUAUCAGUAUAAAACAAUUAACUCAAAUGUUGAUAAGAUUACAACAAACAAUCAAAGUAAACAAAGUACAAUGGGGAAAAAAAAAUGAUACAUGUAAAACCCUCAAUUUAAGAGGCCUUGAAUAUUCAGACCAGAAUGUUGUUCCAAUAGGUUGAAAAACUGUGGUCCUAAAAUCUGUAUGAAAGAUAAUUGCAAAAAAAAAAAAAAAAAAAAAAUCAAUACAUGAUGGUUAUAGUGUAUACUCUUGAAGUAAAUUCAUUAAUUUGUAAUUCUCCUCCCUUCUCCUUGUUGUUGGUUAUAUUUAGGAAGAAAAGAAGCUAUUAUGUAAAAAAAUUUAAAUGUAUCUGGAGAAAAUCAAAGACUAUACAAAGAUCAGACCUUUUUCAGUGGCUUUGAUUUGGAGUAAAAGUAACGCCUUCAAGCUUGAAUGUGGGAAUGUGUUGUAUGAGAGAGUAGUCUUCUCCGUUUGGUGCACAUCUUUUUGAUAAGUUUGGGCAUCCCGAAAUUUUGAGAUAUUGUAGAGAAUUGAGAAGGCAAAAUGAUUUGGGCAAACCCAACACAUUUGGACAAUCUACUAUUUUAAUUUCUUGAAGAGAUGUAAAACAAUGAAACCAAUCAGGAAGCUCUACCAUACCUUGACAAUUUACAAUCCAGAGAUAUUGAAGAGAAGCUGCCAGCACAUUGUAUGCCAUUUGGUGCACAUUGUUGGAGGCUUUGAAGGUCUUGAAGGGUCUCUCCCUCGUUCAUAUCUAACUUUUCACAAUUUACUAUUUCUAACAUUUGAAGGCCAACAAGGUACUUCAUAUUGUUUGGAAGACUUGUCAAAUUUGGACAACCCUUGAUGCUCAAGCAUCUAAGGGAGGUGAGCUGCCCGAUAAUAUCAUUGUCCCACAACGACAUCAGGCUCUUACAUGAAUGAAUAGAAAAGUAUUGGAGGGAACUUAAUUUAUUGAGUUUGGUGUCAACUAAGCUCUCUUGGCAUGUUGUCAUUGUGAAAUUCUUUAAGCUUUGCAAUUGAUGUAUGCCCCUUGGUAGCUCUUUUAAUUGCUCACAUCCAUUGAUGUAAAAACUUUCCAAAUUCAAUAAAUUGCAUAUUGUAUUUGGAAGUGAUAUAAUGAUUGGAUUAUAUGACAACUCAAAAUAUCUCAAAUGCUUCAGAUUCCCGAUCAACUUCGGCAACUCUUCAAACCAAAGACCUCCAAGAUGCGUAAGCAGCUGAGAUUUGAUAUAAUAUCCUCUAGAAAGGACAUACUUACAUGCUGUUUCAUUUCAUAACCAAAUUGAAAUGUUCGGGCUUUCUUUGCUCUGAGAAGCUCUUUUGGAAAUUGUUCCUCUUUUAAACUCUCAGUUUCCUCAUAGCCCAUACGAUAUGCCUAGCAAAGUCUAAAUCCUUCAUAUUAUCCAAAGUUACAACAGCUAACUCUUCGGCCAUAAUGUUUACUGCUAGAUCAUGCAUUUUACUCUCGCAACAUAAACCCACCAAAUGUAGACCUGAUUCUUCAACUAAGAACUUUGAUGUCAGUUCCCUUAAGUAGGAGUAUCCCAAGCCAUUAAAAUCCUUCUUUCUCUUAUCUAAUGGCAACAAUCCAAGUGCGCUCCACAAAUAUGGUACAUCAAGGGAAUCCAAAUAAGCAUCCUUCACGUACAAUGACAAGUAAACAAAACAUUGUUUUAAGCGAGGUAGUAGUUUAUCAUAACUUAAUUUUAAUAGUGGUAACACAUUAAGUCGCUUCAAUUCGGCAAAACUUUCCAUAUCAUUAAUUCGUUGCCAUUCUUGUUCGUUCCUCACACUUCUUAAUAAACUCGCCAAAGUCUUCACAACAAGUGGAAUGCCAUGACAUUUUUUAACAAUAGACCUGCCAAUCUCACAAAGUUUCGAAUACUUGUUGUUUGGGUCCAAUUUAGCUAAUUGGGCCUAGUCAUUAAAUGAUCCAAUGUUCCAAAGUCAAGGCCCAAGCCUCCAUUAAGCCAAGUCAGCAUGAGGUCAAGUGGUCCAAAUUGUUAUGGUCAGCCCAUGACUAUUUCCGGUCCAAUUAUCCUCCUCCCUUUGUCAUGCCAAGGUAUAAAAGCCUUCAAUGGCCUCAUUUAUCAUUCAUUCAUAUUAAAGCCUCAAGCAUUAACUUUCUUUAGGGCUGGCAAAAACUGACCCGAUCCAAAAACCCGACCCGAACCCGACCCGAAAAAGUGGGUUAGGGUUGAGUUUUUCGACCCGAAAACUUAAAUGGGUCGACACGAACCCGAACCCAAAAUUAAAUGGGUUAGGUUAAGGUUGAAAAUCUCAACCCGAAAACGACCCACUUAACCCGAAAUAAAUUUCAGGUCAAAAUCAGGUCGGGUCAACCCGAACCCGACCUGAUAAACUCGAACAUUAUACGGUAUAAAAAAAAAUAAAAAUAAAAAUAAAAAUAAAAAAAAAAAAAAACCCUGAUGGAUUAAAAUUCAGCCCAAGCCCAAAUAUGUAACUAGUAUCUAAAACCCUAAAAUCCUUAAUGCCUCCUCCUCACACAAUCAACCGUUUAGGCUCUCUCCUCCUCCUCCUCUCUCUCUUCAACUCUAAACUCUUGAAAGUUGAAACCUCCAAUCCAAAUAAAUUAUUCUCGGUUUUUCCCAUCCUUAGAUCUUCCUCUCCUUCAUAAUUUAAGUGUUUAAAGAUUCACCACUUCAACCUUCAAGAUUUGGAUCCUUACACGCCACAAACAUAGCCUCUGCUUCAGCUUUCUUCAAGUCUCUGCUUCAACUUGCUUCAGCUUGCUUCAACAUUGUACAUUAUUUGAGAACUAUGUUGUAUAAAGUUUGUAAAAAAAAAAAUCAAAAACAUUGAUUGAUUUUGAAUGCUGAUUUGUUAUUUAUUUAGUAUACUAUAUUUUUGUA